rnacentral:rRNA from 1 species
AGAGUUCGAUCCUGGCUCAGGAUAAACGCUAGCAGCAUGCUUAACACAUUCAAGUCAGAUGGAAAACAUGGGAAACGGUGUUUCCAGUGGUGGAUGGGUGAGUAACGCAUAAGAACCUGCCUUUAGGAGGGGAACAAUAGCUGGAAACGGCUGCUAAUACCCCAUAGGCUGAGGAUCAAAAGGAUGAAUCCGCCCGAGGAGGGGCUCGUGUGUGAUUAGCUAGUUGGUCAGGCAAUAGCUUACCAAGGUGAUGAUCAGUAGCUGGUCCGAGAGGAUGAUCAGCCACACAAAGACUGAGACACGACCCAGACUCCUACGGGAGGUAGCAGUGGGGAAUUAAGGACUGAGACACGACCCAGACUCCUACGGGAGGUAGCAGUGGGGAAUUUUCCGCAAUGGGCGAAAGCCUGACGGAGCAAUGCCGCGUGGAGGUAGAAGGACCACGGGUCGUGAACUUCUUUUCCCGGAGAAGAAGCAAUGACGGUAAGAAGGACCACGGGUCGUGAACUUUUUUUCUCUAAGAAUAAGCAAUGAUGGUAUCUAGGGAAUAAGCAUCGGCUAACUCUAUGCCAGCAGCCGCGGUAAUAUAGAGAAUGCAAGUGUUAUCCGGAAUAAUUGGGCGUAAAGCGUCUGUAGGUGGCUUUUUAAGUCUGCCGUUAAAUCCCAGGGCUCAACCCUGGAUAAGCGGUGGAAAAUACCAAGAUGGAGUAUGGUAGGGGCAGAGGGAAUUUCUGGUGGAGCGGUGAAAUGCGUAGAGAUCGGAAAGAACACCAAUGGCGAAAACACUCUGCUGGGCCGACACUGACACUGAGAGACAAAAGCUAGGGGAGCGAAUGGGAUUAGAUACCCCAUUAGUCCUAGCCGUAAAUGAUGGAUACUAAGUGCUGUGCAUAUCGACCCAUGUAGUGCUGUAGCUAAUGCGUUAAGUAUCCCUCCUGGGGAGUACGUUCCCGAGAAUGAAACUCAAAGGAAUUGACGGAGGCCCACACAAGCGGUAGAGCAUGUGGUUUAAUUCAAUGCAAAGAGAAGAACCUUACCAGGGCUUGACAUGCCGCGAAUCCUCUUGAAAGAGAGGGGUGCCUUCAGGAACGCGGACAUAGGUGGUGCAUGGCUGUCGUCAGCUCGUAUCAUAAGGUGUUGGGUUAAGUCCCGCAAUGAGUGCAACCCUCGUGUUUAGUUGCCAUCGUUGAGUUUGGAACAUUGAACAAACUGCUGAUGAUAAGCCGAAAAAAGGUGAGGAUGACGUCAAGUUAUCAUACCCCUUAUACCCUGGGCGAUACAUGUGCCAUAAUGGCCAGGACAAAGCAUCACGAUCCCGCGAGGGUGAGCUAACCCUAAAAACCCAUCCUCAAUUCGUAUUACAGGCUGCAACUCGCCUGCAUGAAGUUGGAAUCGCUAGUAAUCGCCGGUCAGCCAUACGGCGAUGAAUUCAUUCCUGGGACUUGUACACACCGCCCGUCACACUAUGGGAUCUGUCCAUGCCUAAAGUCGUUACCUUAACCACAAGAAGGGGAAUGUCGAAGGUAGGGCUAGUGACUGGAGUGAAGUCAUAACAAGGUAGCCGUACUAGAAGGUACGGCUG